UACGUAGGGUGCAAGCGUUGUCCGGAUUUAUUGGGCGUAAAGAGCUCGUAGGCGGUUGGGUAAGUCGGGUGUGAAAACUCAGGGCUCAACUCUGAGACGCCACUCGAUACUGCUCUGACUCGAGUCCGGUAGGGGAGCGUGGAAUUCCCGGUGUAGCGGUGAAAUGCGCAGAUAUCGGGAGGAACACCAGCGGCGAAGGCGGGUCUCUGGGCCGAUACUGACGCUGAGGAGCGAAAGCGUGGGGAGCGAACAGG
rnacentral:rRNA from 1 species